rnacentral:rRNA from 1 species
GAGUUUGAUCGUGGCUCAGGAUGAACGCUAGCGGCAGGCUUAAUACAUGCAAGUCGAGGGGCAGCAUAAGUAGCAAUACUUGAUGGCGACCGGCAAACGGGUGCGGAACACGUACGCAACCUUCCUUUAAGUGGAGAAUAGCCCGGGGAAACCCGGAUUAAUACUCCGUAACAUUAUGAAGUGGCAUCACUUUAUAAUUAUAGAUUUAUCGCUUAAAGAUGGGCGUGCGCCUGAUUAGGCAGUUGGCGGGGUAACGGCCCACCGAACCUACGAUCAGUAACUGGCGUGAGAGCGCGACCAGUCACACGGGCACUGAGACACGGGCCCGACUCCUACGGGAGGCAGCAGUAAGGAAUAUUGGUCAAUGGACGCAAGUCUGAACCAGCCAUGCCGCGUGGAGGAUGAAGGUCCUCUGGAUUGUAAACUUCUUUUAUUUGGGAAGAAUGUGAGAAUUCUUUUCACUUGACGGUACCAGAUGAAUAAGCACCGGCUAACUCCGUGCCAGCCGCCGCCGUAAG